rnacentral:lncRNA from 1 species
GUGUCGAUUUCGGAGUCAUGUUGAGUUUCGACGUUCGAAGCGUUCGCGUUGGCAGAGGAUGUUGAAUCGUAGUUCUUUGAAGUGUUUUCGGCCGAAGGUUGAGCUAUCUUCGUGCGCUUGCGAGUUACCGUUGCGGAAGUCACGAUUUGCCUUAACUUAUGCUCCGCAAGGAAGCAUAGUCGUGACUGUUUCGGGCAUUCCCAGAUGGCUGUGAGUCCGUUCUGGGUUGGGAAUUUGACGCCGAGGUGGUACGUUGACGGAACGG